rnacentral:rRNA from 1 species
GACGAACGCUGGCGGCGUGCCUAAUACAUGCAAGUCGAGCGGAUCUUCAUUAGCUUGCUUUUGAAGAUCAGCGGCGGACGGGUGAGUAACACGUGGGCAACCUGCCUGUAAGACUGGGAUAACUUCGGGAAACCGGAGCUAAUACCGGAUAAUCCUUUUCCUCUCAUGAGGAAAAGCUGAAAGACGGUUUCGGCUGUCACUUAUAGAUGGGCCCGCGGCGCAUUAGCUAGUUGGUGAGGUAACGGCUCACCAAGGCAACGAUGCGUAGCCGACCUGAGAGGGUGAUCGGCCACACUGGGACUGAGACACGGCCCAGACUCCUACGGGUGGCAG